rnacentral:misc_RNA from 1 species
AAGUCGUAACAAAGUCUCCGUUAGUAAACCAGCGGAAGGAUUAUUAUAGAGUUGCAAAACUCCUAUCACCAUUGCGAACUUACCUUACACCCGUUGCUUUAGCAGGCAGCCCUAGGCUUCUGUUUUCACAGAUCCUUAGGGCUCUAUAGCCUAAUUGUCAGGUGCCUGCCAGAGGUCAUGCAACUAGACAUUGUUUAUAGCCUGUUAGAAUUUAUACUACCAAUUAGUCAAAACUUUCAACAACAGAUCUCUUAGUUCUA